GGAAGAUUGGCCGAGCGGUUUAAGGCGCACGUCUCGAACACGUGUUCCCGUUUAAGCGGGACUAGGGUUCGAAUCCCUAAUCUUCCG
rnacentral:tRNA from 1 species